rnacentral:ncRNA from 1 species
GAAUAAGCAUUGAGAGGAAAAAGUAGUCUUUCUAUCCCUGUUAUUGUAGAGAGUCGAUGGUUGGUGAGAAUCGAUACAAAUAGCUUAGAUGAAUUACUUCCUGGAGCUUUUACUGUGAAAAAUGUAAGUAGCAGUAAACGGAUUAAACCGUUAUAGAACAAGAGUGGAGAAAUUAUAUUUUUCUCAAGUUGGGUGGUACCACGGUAAAUAAUCGUCCCUUCG